rnacentral:rRNA from 1 species
CGCCUUGCCAGCCGCUCAGAACUUAAAGGAAUUGACGGGGCCGCACAAGCGUGGAGCAUGUGGUUAAUUCGAUGAUACGCGAGGAACCUUACCUGGGCUCAAAUGUAUGUUGACGUAUUCUGAAAGGGAUACUUCUUCGGACAAUAUACAAGGUGCUGCAUGGUUGUCGUCAGCUCGUGCCGUGAGGUGUCGGGUUAAGUCCCAUAACGAGCGCAACCCCUACCUUUAGUUGCCAUCAGGUAAUGCUGGGGACUCUAAAGGAACUGCCUACGCAAGUAGUGAGGAAGGCGGGGAUGACGUCAAAUCAGCACGGCCCUUACGUCCAGGGCUACACACGUGCUACAAUGGCCGAUACAGAGGGCAGCUACCUGGUGACAGGAUGCAAAUCUCCAAAGUCGGUCUCAGUUCGGAUCGGAGUCUGCAACCCGACUCCGUGAAGUUGGAUUCGCUAGUAAUCGCGCAUCAGCCAUGGCGCGGUGAAUACGUUCCCGGGCCUU